rnacentral:rRNA from 1 species
UACGUAGGGUGCAAGCGGUAAUCGGAAUUACUGGGCGUAAAGCGUGCGCAGGCGGUUAUGCAAGACAGAUGUGAAAUCCCCGGGCUCAACCUGGGAACUGCAUUUGUGACUGCAUGGCUAGAGUGCGGCAGAGGGGGAUGGAAUUCCGCGUGUAGCAGUGAAAUGCGUAGAUAUGCGGAGGAACACCGAUGGCGAAGGCAAUCCCCUGGGCCUGCACUGACGCUCAUGCACGAAAGCGUGGGGAGCAAACAGG